rfam:Acidobacteria bacterium RIFCSPLOWO2_12_FTLL_60_22 rifcsplowo2_12_scaffold_26631, whole genome shotgun sequence.
CUUCGGGCUCUGUGCAACGGAAACCUGCAAACCCCGCCAGGUCCGGAAGGAAGCAACGGUAGUAGGCCCUUCCGUGUGCCACAGAAUCACCCGAAGUCU